CAAUUUGGAGGGCCUUAAAAUCAAGAUUACUUUACCAAGUUAAGAAAGCCAAAACCAAAGAAGAAAGACUAAAAUUGAAGCCUGAUAAUAUCAAAUCAGUUGCAGAGUGGAAAGCUUUUGUAAGGGAGAAAACAAGUGCAGCUUUUCAGGAAAGGAGUCAAAAGUAUCAAAACAUGAUGAAGAAACUACUUCCACAUACAACCAACAGCAAAGGAUAUGCUCACUUGAUUGAAGACAUGAAUGCAAGUAGUUCGAGCAAAACAACCGGACGCUUUCUUGUGGAGGCCAAAAAGUGAGAUGAGUACCUUUGAAGAAGCAAUUUCAAGUAAUGUGGCAUGGCCUGCUGAUAAAAUUUUAAAGGGGCAAUGAAGACUUAUGCUUUCUACAACUAUCUACAUACCAAU